GAGCAGGGAGACUCGGGCCAAGGCACACUCUCUCAAACUUUGGCCAAGGUCUCAGCGAUCAUCAUUACCGUCUGCAUUCAGUCAGGCUGUGUGUGUUGAUUUCCAGUCUUUCGUAAUCCUCUGAGGAAACCAAGGGAGUUGGCACCGACUUUCCUUGAGGACAGAGGAAUGCAAAGUUCUGAGCUCCAGUUGAAGCUUUGGAUUGAGGUGCAUGAGCUGGAUGAACAAGCCGAAUAUGACGAUAUUAGGGCCGUGGAGAUGAGACGCCUCACGGUGCUGAACAGACACUGAAGCCAGAAGACAUCAGAGCUGUUGACAGGCCCAUCCAUCAUCCCUCU